rnacentral:rRNA from 1 species
UACGUAGGGGGCAAGCGUUGUCCGGAAUCAUUGGGCGUAAAGCGCGUGUAGGCGGCCCGGUAAGUCCGCUGUGAAAGUCCAGGGCUCAACCCUGGGAUGCCGGUGGAUACUGUCGGGCUCGAGUCCGGAAGAGGCGAGUGGAAUUCCUGGUGUAGCGGUGAAAUGCGCAGAUAUCGGGAGGAACACCGGUGGCGAAGGCGGUUCUCUGGGCCUUACCUGACGCUGAGGAGCCGAAAGCGUGGGGAGCAAACAGG